AGCGAACGCUGGCGGCAGGCUUAACACAUGCAAGUCGAACGCACUCUUCGGAGUGAGUGGCAGACGGGUGAGUAACACGUGGGAACGUACCCUUCGGUUCGGGAUAACUCAGGGAAACUUGAGCUAAUACCGGAUACGCCCUUACGGGGAAAGGUUUACUGCCGAAGGAUCGGCCCGCGUCUGAUUAGCUAGUUGGUGGGGUAAUGGCCCACCAAGGCGACGAUCAGUAGCUGGUCUGAGAGGAUGAUCAGCCACACUGGGACUGAGACACGGCCCAGACUCCUACGGGAGGCAGCAGUGGGGAAUAUUGGACAAUGGGCGAAAGCCUGAUCCAGCCAUGCCGCGUGAGUGAUGAAGGCCUUAGGGUUGUAAAGCUCUUUUACCCGGGAAGAUAAUGACUGUACCGGGAGAAUAAGCCCCGGCUAACUUCGUGCCAGCAGCCGCAGUAACAC
rnacentral:rRNA from 1 species